GAUGAAGAACGUAGCGAAAUGCGAUACUUGGUGUGAAUUGCAGAAUCCCGUGAACCAUCGAGUCUUUGAACGCAAGUUGCGCCCGAAGCCAUUAGGCCGAGGGCACGCCUGCCUGGGCGUCACACGUCGUUGCCCCCCCAUCUACUCCUUCGGGAUUGCGGGGGGCGGAUGAUGGCCUCUCGUGCGCCUCGUCGCGCGGUUGGCCUAAAUGCCAAGUCCUCGGCGACGCACGCCACGACAAUCGGUGGUUGCGAAACCUCGGUUGCCUGUCGUGUGCGGUCGUCGCGCGUCGAGGGCUCGAAAAAAUUGCCGGGCUUCGGCUCGACUUUCAACGCGACCCCAGGUCAGGCGGGGUUACCCGCUGAAUUUAAGCAUAUCAAUGCGGAGGA
rnacentral:misc_RNA from 1 species